GUACUCGCUUCGGCAGCACAUAUACUAAAAUUGGAACAAUACAGAGAAGAUUAGUAUGGCCCUUGUGCAAAGAUGACACGCCAAUUAGAGAAGCAUUCCAUAUUUAA